AAACAUAGCCUUAAGAAUUAAAUUUAAGGUUUAUACCUGCCCAAUGUAAAUUAAAUGAAUGGCCGCGGUACUUUGACCGUGCUAAGGUAGCGCAAUCAAUUGGCUUUUAAUUGUAGCCAGGUAUGAAUGGAGUUACGGGGUUUAACUGUCUCCUAAUUAAUUUAUUGAAAUUACUAUUCAGGUGAAAAAGCCUGAAAUUUUAAGAAGGACGAGAAGACCCUUAGAGUUUCCCUUAUUUUAGAUUUUUAUCUAAAUCAGUUUUGUUGGGGCAACAUAGGAUCAAGAAACAUAACAUCCUAAUAUAAAUUAGCCGAUAUUUAUAAGUUUAGAUAAACUACCUUAGGGAUAACAGCAUAAUUUUAUUAAUAAGUUUGUGACCUCGAUGUUGGACUAGGAAACUAAAGGGCUAGCCGCCUUUUAGGUUAGUUCUGUUCGAACUAUUAUUCCUACGUGAUCUGAGUUCAGACCGG
rnacentral:rRNA from 1 species